UAUUACAUUCUUGCGCGACCAUCGUGCCGUAAAGGGGCGGAGACUGAAGGAACAAAAUCUCGCGAUGUUUCCGAGGCAACGCGCUGGUGUGGGUUAGGGCUGAGAAAGAACGACAGGAACAGAGACGUCGCGAGGAUUAAGUUUAAGACUUCGCGAGAACAGAAUUUCUUUUGGCACCUCCUCUCCGCGCGUUCUUGGGGUGAGGCUGGGUAAUUGUUCCUGCAGGGUGGUGGGUGAUAGUGGCCAGUUGACUGCGACUGUGUUUGGGUGGUGGGAAGCCUGAAGAAAAGGUUGUUUCUUACCGGUCGCUGCCUCAGGGAGGUAGUGCGGUAGAAUUUUCCGCUAUGGGUCAUUCUCGGUGUCCGCGGGGAAGGGCGUGACAACGACGGGCGUGACGGCGAAGCAACAGUGUCUCGAGAGCGCUGCCGCCCGGAGGGCGCCAGGAGAAGUGCGUCCGAGACGCCGCGCGGUGAUGCUCCUGAAAACGUCUGCCCGGCGUAGCGGGAACCCAGCAUGAUUUUCAGGGUAGUAAAGUGUCCCUGUAUUUUACUUACAGACUGUCCGAUUUUUUAGUUUUAUCACGAGGGUGGGUGUUGAAUUCAGGCUGGAAGCCUGUUAGUUCUCGACCAUAUUUUAAGUUUUUUGUUUAAAAUAAUGUGGAUGAGGCUCUAAAAGUAUGACUGCCCUUUUCUUUAUCCAAAAACGUGAUUGUUCUUAAAGUUCAGUGUUAGCCAGAUUUAAUAACCUAGUAUAUGUAUGUGUCCAUGGCCAUUUUUAUUAAGGGUUUUUUUUUGUUUGUUUGUUUGUUUUGAGAGUCUCGCUCUGUUACCCAGGCUGGAGUGCAGUGGCGCGGUCUCGGCUCACUGCAUCCUCCGCCUCCUGGGUUCAAGCGAUUCUCCUGCCUCAGCCUCCCGAGUAGCUGGGACAACAGGCGCCUGCCACCACGUCUGGGCUAAUUUUUUGCGUUUGUAGUAGAGACGGGGUUUCACCGUGUUAGCCAGGAUGGUCUCGAUCUCGUGACCUCGUGAUCCACCCGCCUCGGCCUCCCAGAAUGCUAGGAUUAUAGGCGCGAGGCACUGCGCCCGGCCUGUUAAGGUCUCUUAAGUUAAGAACAGCAUUGUUUCUUGACCAAAAUAGAUUUUGUAGCUUCUUAGGCGUAGUUUCUCCCACCCCAUCCUGUGGGUACUCAAAUGUAAGAUCAUAUUCUGAAUUGUCAUCACAGGACUAGGUAUAUAUAUAUAUAUAUGUGUGUGUGUGUGUGUGUGUGUGUGUGUGUGUGUAAAUUGGUAUUUUAUGUUAUGUACUUCAGUUACCAAGUAAUGCCAGACAUUUCUUCAGACCUUCUCCAACAUAUCGUGGCAUGUAAUUUACUGUGUUAAUAGUAGUAAGCUCCAGGAAUCGUGAGGAUACUUUAGAAGUCUUACUCUUUAUUAUUGAGUAUAUCACAGUGACUUUUUUUUUCCAAAAUUAUUUGUUUAAAUAACAAACAAUGAGGUAAAAUGAACUUUCUCGACUUUGUGGCAUUUUGUCUUACUUGGUUAGGUCUAAAAAAAUACUUUUUCAGCAGCUCUUAAGAGUAAUUGUGAGAAAUAUAUAUAUGCUGCAUUCUUUCUGAAAACCUAAAAGUAAUGUGUUCAUUUGCUUAAGCACCAAAAUAGCAGUUAAUAUGAAUGUAGAUACAGGUGAGCCAUCAUUUCCCUUUAAUCAGCUUUUAAGGCAGUAGUAUCCAUUUAUAGCUCUGAUGAUCUUUUUCAGUGUUCAUGGCCAUCCCUAUAAAUUUUGGUGGAAUUUGCAUUUGAAAAAUCAGUGCACGUAUGGGACUACAGAUUUAAUCAUAAUGUAUAGAAAAACAGUAAAAGCAGUGUUGGGUGUGCGGCUAGGUAGAAAUUUUCCAGUUGUAUUUUGAAAAUGUCUUGAUUUUUUCAUAUUUUAUUAAUUAGGCAAUACAAUCAGAUCUUUUGAUCAAUGUAAUUUACCACAGUGCUAUAAUUUACCCUCAAAACAAAUUUAUGUAUAUCUCAAUUUAUUUUAGUUAUCACUGAAUAUUGAAAAUAUGUAAGGACCUCAAUUUUUUUUUUUUUUUUUUUUACAUACUCGCUCUGUUGCCCAGGCUGGAGUGCAGUGGCACGAUCUUGGCUCACUGAAACCUCAGCCUCCCAGGUUCAAGAGAUUCUCCCACCUCAGCCUCUGGAGUAGCUGGGAUCACAGGUGUGCACCACUAUGCCUAAUUUUUUUUUUUUUUGAGACGGACUCACCCUGUCACCCAGACUGGAGUGCAGUGGCAUGAUCUCGGCUCACUGUAACCUCUGCCUACUGGCUUCAAGCAGUUCUGCCUCAGCCUCCCGAGUAGCUGGGAUGACAGGCACCCACCACUACGCCCAGCUGAUUUUUGUAUUUUUAGUAGAGACAGUGUUUCACCAUGUUGGCCAGGCUGGUCUCGAACUCCUGACCUCAUGAUCCACCCUCUUUGGCCUCCCAAAGUGCUGGGAUUACAGGCAUGAGCCACCGCGCCCAGCCACAAUAAAAUUCUUGAUAGCUUAAUCUUUUGGAAAAAUUAAUGCUUGAGACAAAGGUUCUUUGUGAAAAUAUAAAUAAACUGCUUUUUAGGAUCUCUUCAGUGAAGCUGGGAGGAAUAUUUGGGGGGUUGCUAAGGUGUCAUUCCAAACUUUUCAGUGUUCUUCAAAUCUAAUAAAAGAACAAACAUCUUUAGUGUAUUAUACAAAAGGCCUCUUUGAAUAUUAAUGGAGUAUUUGUUUGGUCACUCCACACAUUCAUUGCCAGGAUCUGUCCUUUGAUUAUGAUCAUGGGAGAUAUAACAGGGCAUCAUAGGAUAUAUAGGAAAUAGAUUAUUAAUUUUUAGAGAAAAAUUUGGAGCUCUCCACCUCUUCUUGUAAGACAACACUCCCAGCUUUCCAUUACUUUAGGUAAUAAUGUUAGAUUGAAAGUUUGGGACUCCUGAAAGCAUCUGUCUUAAAUAACUGGCCUUAUCAUCCGGUUCUUAAGUGAGUUUAGCUUAUUCCAUAGCAUACAUUACAAUAAUUUAUAAUAAAGCUGCUAUAUACAAAUAUGCACUAAUAUACUUGUAAUUUCCUGUAAAUUGAUCCUAUACUUGUUUCCUAGAUGUUUCCAAACAGCUACCUACAAAACUUUGGUUUUACAUGUUGCCUCAAAAACAAAAUGUCUAAAAUUCAUAUAUUUACUGUUCUUAUUCUCCCUUUUUUUGUGGUCAAAACAUUUAUUGUUUCUUUUCCUAUUGGAUCAUAUAUUUAGAUAAUCAGUUCUUCUAUUACAUUUAUCUUUUUCAUUAACCUUUAGCUAAAUAAAUCCAGAUUAAAAAUAGUCUUUUCUCAUGAAACUUAACCUGACUAACCAAUUGCAGUGACCUUUUAUUUAUUCAGUGGUUACCCACAUUGGCUACAGGGAGCUUUUAAAAAAUAUGAAAGGUAGGCUGGGCGAGGUGCCUCAUGCCGAGGCGGGUGGAUCACCUAAGGUCAGAAGUUCAAGACCAGCCUGGCCAACAUAGUGAAACAUCGGCUCUACUAAAAAUACAAAAAUUAGCUGGGCAUGGUAGCGGACGCCUGUAAUCCCAGCUACUCGGGAGGCUGAGGCAGGAGAAUUGCCUGAACCCGGGACGGGGAGGUUGCAGUGAGCUGAGAUCGCACCACUGUACUCCAUCCUGGGUGACACAGCGAGAUUCUGUCUCAAAAACGAAAGAAAGAAAGAAAGGUUAGCCCUAACUCCUACUCCCAGAAACUGAUUUAAUUGGACUAUAUGUGAAUCCGUAAAAGCUUCCUGGGUUAAUGUAGGGGUGGGUUGCCCCUCCACACCUGUGGGUGUUUCUCGUAAGGUGGAACGAGAGACUUAGGAAAGAAAAAGACACAAAGACAAAGUAUGCUGAACCAGCGUUCAGCAUAUGGAGGAUCCCGCCAGCCUCUGAGUUCCCUUAGUAUUUAUUGAUCAUUCGUGGGUGUUUCUCGAAGAGGGGGAUGUGUCAGGGUCACAAGACAAUUGUGGGGAGAGGGUCAGCAGACACGUGAACAAAGGUCUUUGCAUCAUAGACAAGGUAAAGGAUUAAGUGCUGUGCAUUUAGAUAUGCAUACACAUAAACAUCUCAAUGCUUUACAAAGCAGUAUUGCUGCCCGCAGGUCCCACCUCCAGCCCUAAGGCGGUUUUUCCCUAUCUCAGUAGAUGGAACAUACAAUCGGGUUUUAUACCGAGACAUUCCAUUGCCCAGGGAUGGGCAGGAGACAGAUGCCUUCCUCUUGUCUCAACUGCAAGAGGCAUGCCUUCCUCUUAUACUAAUCCUCCUCAGCACAGACCCUUUACGGGUGUCGGGCUUGGGGGCGGUCAGGUCUUUCCCUUCCCACGAGGCCAUAUUUCAGACUAUCACAUGGGGAGAAACCUUGGACAAUACCUGGCUUUCGUAGGCAGAGGUCCCUGCGGCCUUCCACAGUUUUUGUGUCCCUGGGUACUUGAGAUUAGGGAGUGGUGAUGACUCUUAAGGAGAGUGCUGCCUUCAAGCAUCUGUUUAACAAAGCUCAUCUUGCACCGCCCUUAAUCCAUUUAACUCUGAGUUGACACAGCACAUGUUUCAGAGAGCACAGGGUUGGGGGUAAGGUUAUAGAUUAACAGAAUCUCAAGGCAGAAGAAUUUUUCUUAGUACAGAACAAAAUGGAGUCUCCUAUGUCUACUUCUUUCUACACAGACACAGUAACAAUCUGAUCUCUCUUGCUUUUCCCCACAGGUUAAUCCUAAAGUGCAGACACACUUGAGAACCACUGAAAUACACAAGUGUACAAGCUCUGGCCGACUUUUGCUUAUUUUUAAUGGCUUGCAGUUUGUUUCUAGUUAUGGGUAUAUAGUCUUGAGAUGAAUUCAGGGUCUAGAAACAGCUUUUUUUAAACUGUUAAAAUAAUUAAAUGGGAAGUGAUUAGACUGGGGUACCUCCAGUGCCCUGUGUUCCUACAUAAGCAAACUGAAACCUAAUUCAAUGUAAACUGUCUUAACCAAUCAGAAACUGCCAAUUAACCUUUAACUAGGGACUUUUCACUGGAAUGGUCCAAAUCAGGCUGUUGCUCCACUUUAAUCAAAUGUUUUCUUUGCCUUGUUUCUGCAUUCAUCCUGUGAAAAUCCUCCUUAUCCCUUCAGCCCUAAGUCAUUGAACUACUUUCAAUUGGGGUCUGUCCUAUUCAUGAAUCAAUUGAAAGUUUUUCUUUUAACUGGACUAACUCAAACUUUUUGUUAGCUAGACUAAGGCAGAGUUUCUUAACAAAAGGUCACCAGCAUCAUCAAGAGUGCUUUUUAGCCGUACGUGGACCUACUGAAUCAUGUUUUGGGGAAUCUAUAUUUCUUUCUUUCUUUCUUUCUUUUUUUUUCCAGAAAGCAUCAUAGUUGAUUCUACUCAUCAAGAUUUGAAAACUACCCUUUUACACAAAACAUAUUUAAUAUUUGAGGAAUUAAAGUGAAUUAAAUUUUGUUUCCCUGGCUAGAUUGUAGUAAAUGUUAUGAAUACAGAAAUUUUGUCUUCUCCCUUUUCCCCUCCUCUGUAUAAAAGAGGGCUUGUCAAGGACCGCGUCUUAUUCUUUGGUUUGCCCAGUAUGCUUUUAUGUUGGUAAAAGUUUAAUAAAUAUCAAGUUGAAUUCUUUAUUCCACUUAUCAUUUUCCUACAAAGCUACAUAUGAUUAUGAAUGUGGAGGGCCUUUGAGGCCAGAUGGCACUGAAGGGUAGUUUCACACAAACUUUUCUUAGAAUAUCAGUCUUGGAAAGACCUUGAAGGUAAUCUCGCCCAUUUGUUUCAUUUUAUAUUGGAGGAAACCAUAACACAGAUUGCUGAGUGCCUUCUACAAAGUGCCAAGAUUAAUUGCAGAGCCAAGACUAGAUUUCUAAUCCAGUGCUCUUUAUUUUGUGAACUGUCUUCUAUAUGAAGCAUCGGUGUUUGGGUUGGAGGUUUUCUGCUUCUUAGGUACAAGAGGAAGAAGAAUCUGUACAGAACCAAAAACAUCUUAAUUUUUGUAAUCAGGAUGUCUACCUUUACUGACAACAUUUACUGACAACAUUUCCUUCUGAAAAUAGGUUAUUGAAAGAUCAAGGAUCUUUGCCAGUGAAAUCCUUAACUGGAAGUGGGUGGGUACAAGAUAGAAAACUCAUUUGGUAUAACAAUUUUGUUGUUUUUUAGUGGAACCUUGCUUCUCUGUUCUGACAUUUCCAUGUCUCUAUUUAUAGUAGUGAUCUCUUUGGAAUUUGCCUUCUGAUUCCAUUUGUUCCUUUAUGUUGCUUCAUAUUAACUGAUAUUCUCACUUCAUUUAAAAAAAAUUUGAAGGGACAUGUACUUAAGAAAAAGGAAUUAAUUUUUUUAUAAGAAAUAUCUGGAGGUACUAUUUUUCUAUGGUUUAUCAUAAUCAUUGUUUAUGCCAGGUUAUCUAAUUGUAGCAAUAAUAUAAAUACUAUUUUUUCAAGCAAGAAUGUUAGUUUUAAAAAAUUUAUGUGCAUAUUAAGCUUUAGACACCUUUUAUCCAGGACAGAUAUUACCUUUAGAUUCUUAACAACCUUGCUCCUUAACUAUGCACUUUGAUAUAAAUGAAGAUUGAGAGGUUUUAGUUAGAGCUUUUAAGUGGUAAACGGUCAAGGGCAGGAGCUAUCUUAUUUACCUUUGAGAUGACAAUAAUGCCUGGCAUCUAGUAGGUCCUAAUUAAUCUAUUCAUUUAUUCAAUUCAACAAAAAUUCUGGGCAUUGUUCUAAGUGCUAGAGAUACAGUAGUAAACAAAAUAGACAUAUAUCUCACCGUCUUGUCUUGAGCAUGCUAGUGAGUGAAGGUGGAUUGAAACCAUGGAUCACUUUGCAGAGACUCCCUAUUGUUUUCAGACAAUUAUUUGUAUCAGUCUAACCAAUAAUAUCCUGUAGCUAAUUAAGCAAUGGUUUGAAGAGUCAGAAUGGGAGAAGCUGAAUGAUCAGAUAGAUCAUUCAUUCAUUAAACAUUUAAUUUCCUAGUGUAUGUUAAAUUAUUUGAAACAAGCUAGUGAAUGUGAGUCAUUGUCAUCCCAAUUGUCAGCCUGAUUCUUGUGCUCUGUUUAUAUCUUGGGGUAAAGACUUCAAGCUUCUGGCCAGGUUACAGCCCGGGAACUUCAUCUCAGAUCACAUACCACUGAAUCCUAAGUGCAUAAAAUAAUGUGUGCCAUGUAGUAAAUAUUACUACAUUAAUCCUUAACUACUCGAAAUGCAAUUUCCUCACUACUUAUGGCCACAGCCUGCAUCUAGUCUUCAUCCAGACAACUCAAACAAUAAAAAUCUUCAAGUCUGAUAUUCUCCUCAAGAUGACCUCUUGUCAGUUUGUUUCCUAAUGUACUUCUUCCGUUCCUCUAGUCUCUUGACACUUCUCUUUUCUUUCCAUCUCUUACUUGCUGGCUUUCCUUCUUUGCCAUUCACGUCAGUAAUUCUCAACUCCCACUCCCCUUUGUCUUUUAGUUGUGUCCAUUCUUUAAAUCAACAACUCUUAAUCAGUUCAAAUUGACUUUGGAGUCGGAUGAACUUCAAAUCACCAUUUGCUACUUCAGUGACCUUGCCAAAUUCUUUAACCUUUUUUGAGUUUGUUUACUCCUUGUCACCCUAAGCAUUGUUUUGAAAAUUAAAUGAGAUUAUUGUAUCCAGAUACUUUUGACCACAAGUAAUGAAAACCCUUAUUAAAUGGCUUAAAUAAUAAAAAAUCCAGGGGUAGAGUGGCUCUAAGGCUGGUUGAUGAGCAGCUCAACAAUUUAUGAGGUACCCAUGUUUUUUUCAUCUUUGCCUUCUACCACCCUCAGCUUCUUGACUUUACUCCCCUAAUGAUUGCAUAAUGGUUGCCACAGUUCCAGGUGUCAUGCAGUCAUGAUUGUUAAAUGGAAGGGGAAAGUUUCUGCUACCAGUGUCCCUACCCUCCACCCCUGCCACAACUGCCAAUCUUAUUAACCUUGUCCUGACCAGAGUUGAGUCACAGGCUUACUCUAUCAAGUGUCAUACUGGCUUAGAAUAAUUAGGAUUCAUCUCAGGGGUGAGGGAGAGGCCCCACUUUCCUAGUAAUAGUUAUUCUUACUACUGCAUUUGUGAGUGCUAGGACUCAAUCCUUGUGCCCUUUUACCCUAUCUAUGAUUCUAGUAAUUUCCUCUAGUCUCAUGGUUUCAAAUAUCACCUACACUCUUCCCAAAUUUUUCUCUUUUAAGAGACAGGAUCUCUGUCGCCCAAACUGAAGUGCAGUGGUGCAAUCUUAGCUCACUGCAGCCUUGAGCUCUUGGGCUCAAGUGAUCCCCCUGCCUCAGCCUCCUGAGUAGCUAGGACUACAGGCAUGCAUCAGCACACCUGGCUAAUUUUUAAAUUUUUUGUAGAGAUGGGGGUCUCGCUAUGUUGCCUAGGCUGGUCUCAAACUCCUGGCCUCAAGCAGUCCUUCUGCCUUGGCCUCCCAAAGUGCUGAGUUUGAGCCACUGUGCCUGGCCCCAUGCAUCUUUAUUUUAUAUGUCCAAUAUUGAACUCCUCAGUUUCUCCCUUCUCCCCUCUCUAUUUUAGUAAGUAGCAAGUCUGUUCUGUGUUUGCUGAAGUUGAAAAACCUUGGUGUCCUUAUUGGUUUUUCCUCACAUUCCCUGUUUGAUUCACCAGGAAAUCCUGUUGACUCUACCUUUAAGAUAUAUCCAGAAGUUCACCACUUCUCAUCACCUCCACUGCUACAUCAUGGUCCAAACCACCUGAAUAUAUAUGUAUAUUGCUACUUCAGUGACCUUGCCAAAUUCUUUAACCUUUUUUGAGUUUGUUUAGUCUUUGGCACCCUAAGCCAUAUGUAUAUAUGUAUAUAUAUUUUAUAUAUGUACAUAUAUAUACAUAAAGAUUUUAUAUAUAUACAUAAUAUAUAUGCAUACAUUAUAUAUAUACAUAAUAUAUAUGCAUACAUUAUAUAUAUAUGUGUGUGUGUGUAUUUCCCCCCCCCCCCAGACAGUGUCUCACUUGGUCACUCAGGCUUGAGUGCAGUGUAUAAUCAGAGCUCACUGUAACCUCAAACUCCUGUGCUCAAGCAAUCUUGCCUCGGCCUUCUGAGUAGCUAGGGUUACAGGCAUGUGCCACCAUAUCUGGCUGACAUUUUUUAUCUUUUGUAGAGGCAGAGUAUUGUUAUAUUGUCCAGGCUAGUCUGAAACUCGUGGCCUCAAGCUAUCCUCCUGCCUCAGCAUUCCAAAGUGCUGGGAUUACAGGUCUGAGCCACUGUGCCCAUCAGUUCUUAUUGGUCUUCCACCCUUGCCCACCGUCUUUCCCACGCUGUUAAGAAUCAAAGUGACCUAUCAUUCGCGUAAAACUCUCCAAUGGCAUUGUAUCUUCCCUCAGAAUGUAAGUCAAAGUCUUUAGUGGCCUACAAGCCUCUGUAUUGCAUCUGUUAUUUCUCUGACCAUCUUUCAACCCCUUCACCAUCUCUAUCAUUCUGACUCAGCCACCUUGCGGUUCCUCAAAGAUGCCUUGCAUUCCCUCACUUCUAGGCUUUGGUGUUUGAUAUUUCCCUCUAUCCAAUAAGUUCUACCAUAUGGAUGCAUAGCUUUCCUCCUUUCCUUUCAGAUUGUAGUGCUAAUAUCAUUUUCUCUGAAAUCAUUUCUGGCUACCCUAUCUAAAUUUUGAAUCUCCUUAUUUACAUUUUCUGCUUUAUUUUUCUUAGCUUUUAUCACCGUCUAACACAACUUACAGUAUUUAAAAAUUUUUAUUGUAUCUCCCCCUACUAGAAUGUACAGAGAAUGAGGCAGGGAUUUUUGUUCAUACUGUAUCCCUAGCACCUAGAAAGGUGCCUUGGCAUAUGAAAGGUCCUUAAUAAAAAUUUGUGAGUAAAUGAAUGUUCAUUCAUUCUGGUUUCAGCUGGGUCCUUAGUGGGAUUUAGUAAUUGUUUGUUUCUGAUCAGCUGCUUCCCUAUUUUCCAUAAUUGACAUACUGAACUACCACCAUUCUUAUCAAACACCCUACUUUACUCUGAAUCCUUAGCAGUGGAUGUCCCCCCACUCCUCUCUUUUUAAACAGAGUAUUGAUACUGUGUAUGAACUUCUUGGUCUUCCUAGUCCUUUUACUUUCAAAUUUAUAAAUUGUCGUCGUCUACUUCCUUUUGCUCUCAGAGCCCACCUCUAAUUUUAUUCACGUCUCAUCUACUGGUACUCUUGGUAUCAAAUCGUAUCAAAUUUUAUCUUCUUUGAGAUGUCAUUUAAGCAAUUAUUUCUUUUAUUAUAUGUCUUACAUGUUUUUAAAUAUCCUCCUCUAUAUUGUUUUCUUCUUCUCUGGACUAUCUUAAAACCUCUUUUAUCCUUUCCUUAUUACAAGUCUAUCUCCUUCAGACAACUUGUUAGAAAUAUUUAAAUUUACCAUUUCAUUUUCAUUUCCCUCUUAAUGUUCAAUUUACCACAUUCUAGCUUUUAUUGGUCACAAUUCUAUCUACCUCAUAGAAUUCUGAGAGACUAAAUGAGGAUACAUGUGUUUUUAGGUUAAUAUUUUUUUGAGGGCUCACCAGGAUUAACUAUUACUACUGAAGCCAAAAUCAUUCUCACUCUUACAGAUACUUUUCUAUCAUCUUUAUUUACUUUUCUGUAUCCCUCAUGAAAUAGCUUCUGUCUUUUGGUUUUUGGACACUAGUGGUGUCAGGAUGCCUUCAGCUCCAAGUAAGAGAAUCUCUUAAGUCCAAUGAUAGGUAGUUCCAAGAUUGAUUUAGAGAUGCAACACUGUCAAGUUAGGCUCUUACUGUCUUUGUAUUCUGCCGUUUUCACUGUGUCAUAGACGUCUACCUUUAGGAUUGUAAGAAUUUCAUUAUUCAAAAACAGGAUGCAGUGCUGGGGUUUCUCCUUGGUGGAUAUCUCCUUAUAGGGAGGAAAAUCCCCAGAACAUCUCUCUUACAUCUCAUUGGCUAGAACCAUGUCACAUGUCUGCCCUUAAACAAUCACUGGCAAAGGAAAUACUACUGUGAUUGAUUUAAAUCAACCCUGAGCCAUCCCCAAGAGACUGGGGGAUGCUCUCACCUUCCUUGAGUUCAUUACUCUAUUUCUGGGAGAAGAUAUCUGUUAGCUAGAAAGAAGAUAUGAAUGGUUCUUUGGUAUGUAACCAGCAGUGUCUGCCGUAGCAUUCUCACCUGGUUGAUCUCUGAUGGUUCCUUCUGUCUUUUUUAUUGUCUCCUGUUGAUUGAUGUGCCCCUUAAAUGCUGGUCAUCCCAAAGUUCUGUCUUUGAUUCUUUCCAAAAAUUGUUCCUCCUUCACACUAUAAAAUAUCACUUGCAUUAGGAUCCUUUCUAAAUAUUUGUCUCCAACUAAUAUUUC
rnacentral:lncRNA from 1 species